GGGCAAGCGUUAUCCGGAUUUACUGGGUGUAAAGGGAGCGUAGACGGCUUAGCAAGUCUGAUGUGAAAGCCCGGGGCUCAACCCCGGGACUGCUUUGGAAACUGUUAAGCUGGAGUGCUGGAGAGGUAAGCGGAAUUCCUAGUGUAGCGGUGAAAUGCGUAGAUAUUAGGAGGAACACCAGUGGCGAAGGCGGCUUACUGGGCAGUAACUGACGUUGAGGCUCGAAAGCGUGGGGAGCGAACA
rnacentral:rRNA from 1 species